UGGCGGCGAGUGGCGAACGGGUGAGUAAUACAUCGGAACGUGCCCAAUCGUGGGGGAUAACGCAGCGAAAGCUGUGCUAAUACCGCAUACGAUCUACGGAUGAAAGCAGGGGAUCGCAAGACCUUGCGCGAAUGGAGCGGCCGAUGGCAGAUUAGGUAGUUGGUGAGGUAAAGGCUCACCAAGCCUUCGAUCUGUAGCUGGUCUGAGAGGACGACCAGCCACACUGGGACUGAGACACGGCCCAGACUCCUACGGGAGGCAGCAGUGGGGAAUUUUGGACAAUGGGCGAAAGCCUGAUCCAGCCAUGCCGCGUGCAUGAUGAAGGCCUUCAGGUUGUAAACUGCUUUUGUACGGAACGAAACGGCCUUUUCUAAUAAAGAGGGCUAAUGACGGUACCGGCAGAAUAAGCACCGGCUAACUACGUGCCAGCAGCCGCGGUAAUACGUAGGGUGCAAGCGUUAAUCGGAAUUACUGGGCGUAAAGCGUGCGCAGGCGGUAAUGUAAGACAGAUGUGAAAUCCCCGGGCUCAACCUGGGAACU
rnacentral:rRNA from 1 species